GGGUCCGUCCCGGCAGCCCCCGCGGCCCUGCGUCCCCCGACGCUCCGCCGGCGGGGCGGGGCCGGGCCGGCGGGAUUGACAACCAAAGACGGCGGCCUCCGCCAGUGACCGGACGAGGCUCCGGCCCGCCCCCCGUGCCCACCGCCUGGCUUCCUAGAGCCCCUGGGAGAGGGGGCGGGGCGCGACGGGGAGGGCGUGAGCGUCACGGCACGUCCGGGGAGGAGCCCCGCCCCCGGGAGGGAGCCCCGCCCGCGGAAGGAUUCUGGGGGAUGGCCGGGAGGGUCAGCCCUGGGUGUGGAGCGGGGACCGCUGCGGGGCCGCUUGCCCAUCCUGCGGCGGGGGAGGAGGGAAGGUCCUUGGGACAGCCCUGCAGAGGAGGAAGGAGGAAGUGGAGCUAGAAGACCCUCAGGGCGGGAGGCCAGGUGUGACCCCUCGGAGAGGAGCUGGGCCCUGGAAGGAGAGUCAGUAGCCCAAGGGGGAGCUGAAGGCUUCGGGGUAAAAAAAAUCUGCCUGGUCAAGGCCCUGCUCCCCAGAGAGGCUGUGGCUGGUGCAGCGAGAAGCCGCUUUGACCCCGGAGAUGCCCCCACAGGAGACUGCCCUGCCCACGGCUGUCCACUCCCAGGGCGGAGGCCGACCGGUGUGCAAAGGUCCGGUCUAGGGCUCCAGAACCCCACCACCUGGAGGGGAGACAGUGGGCAAGCCAGGGGCAGCACGGAGCACACGGCCUCAGGAAAGCCCUCUGGGGCAAGCAGUAGGAAGCCUCCAGAAGUCUUCACCUGAUUUCAGAGCCUGUUGUCCCAAAGCAGUCAGGCGAACAGAAACCCAGCAUCACCACAGGAAGCGUUGUCCCCAAGGGGACAGCAAUGGGGGCCUCCCUUCAAGGGAAGGAUCUCGGAGAAACAUGCUGCCAGCCUUGAGGUCCCUGUUCCCUGGUGUUAAUAAAGGCCCUUGUUCACUGGCGAGGCUGCAUGCCAGCCUUCAUGCAGGACAGGCCACAGUGGCUGAACUCCAGGCUGUCAGGUACUGUGAUUGGCAGACUUCUCAGAUGGCCCAGUCACCCCCUCCUGCUGCUCACUGCCUUGAAGAAAGAGCCCCUCCCUUGAGUGUGGGCUGUCACUGGUGGUUCGCUUGCGAGUAAGUAAAAUUUAUAUUUUAAGGUGGGGCCCCAAAAUGGAAACAUAACGUUCUCUGUCAUUUGGGCCUCCUCCAUCGCCCCCUCACGUGGAGGGUGUGUCUGCAUUACCCCGGAGCUGAAGAUGGGCAAGCCCGCUCAACCGUAAGGACGGAUCGUCACACUGGCAUCUCUCCCAGCUCCGCAGGGGUCACAGCGACUCACUGCUCUCCUGGUACCUGCUUACCUGGGCUUUGUAUCUUUGGUGACCUCUACGCAGAAGGUCUGUAUGGCAUUCUGAUGUGUGAUCCUUUGUCUCAGAAAUGUACACGAUCAUGCCUUGGACUCCUCACAGGUGGCUCAGCCCUCCGAGCUUCCGAGAGUCCGUCUCCUGGGUUGUCGUCCUCAGCUUGGCUUGAAUGAAAUGCUCUUUUUUCUUCUUGAUUGUUAACUGAAUUUUCACUGACUCCUCUAACACUAUCGUAGGCAAAGCCGGCGCUCCUGGGAUUCCAUGACAAGAGAUGGGGCCUCUGACUUGCUGUCCAUCUCCUAGGUGUGCACGGGUUCUUUAAGCCAGCUGCCCUGUUGGAGAGGCCAACAGUCAGUGAGAAACGGAGGCUCUCAGGCCAACAGCCCGGCGAGAACUGAAUCGUGCCAGCACCACAUGAGCUUGGAAACGGAGCCUUGCCCAGUCAAGCUUGCAGGUGAAAGGCAGCUGGUACUUGAAUGAAAGCAUUCCAGACACCAAGGAGUGAAGGACCUAGUUCACUGAAGCUGUGCCCAGAUUCCUGACCCACAACAACUGUGCGAUCCUAACGGGGACGUUAAACCACCACAUGGUGGUUUGCACAGCAGUAGACAAGUGUAUUCAUUCACUGGGGCCGCGGUAACAAGGGACCACGGACCGGGAGGCUCAAGCCCCAGGAGUUGAUCUUGUCACAGACCUGGAGGCUGCACGUCCGAGAGCGAGGCGUCUUCAGCAAUGAGUGUGCACUCUUCCGGGAGGAAAAUGUAAAAGAGGAAGUUUGGGUGGAGAACUACAACUGAAAGCCUAGCAGCACGCUUGUGACUGAUUCUGCCCAGGAAAAGAGGGAGGUAUUUAAAGCAACCCGACACCCUCACCCACAAAUGGGUACACUCCAGCUGGGGGGCUGGCACCUGCCCUAAAUCCAGAACCAGCUGGAAGAUCUCAGGGCUGAGGCUUGGGCCAGGAAAAGGAAACGUGAAGCAGAGCCAUGAGGAACAAGCUGAGCGGAUGGGCAGCUCCAGAGGGCAUUUGGUGAACUCCCACCUGUGCCCCGAGAGCACCUCCCACUCCCGAGGGUAUGACCGCCAUGUGUUUUAAUUCCGCAUAAAUACGCCUCCUGCCAACUA